CCUUGCCGGCGACCGGCGCACGGGUGAGUAACACGUAUGCAACCUGCCCUCUUCAGGGGGACAACCUUCCGAAAGGGAGGCUAAUCCCGCGUAUAUCGGUUUCGGGCAUCCGAGAUCGAGGAAAGAUUCAUCGGAAGAGGAUGGGCAUGCGGCGCAUUAGCUAGACGGCGGGGUAACGGCCCACCGUGGCGACGAUGCGUAGGGGUUCUGAGAGGAAGGUCCCCCACACUGGUACUGAGACACGGACCAGACUCCUACGGAAGGCAGCAG
rnacentral:rRNA from 1 species